GAUCCAGUGAUCCACUCGUAAGUCGUGACCCAACCUCCCUCUUCCCCCAAUCAUUCAUUCAUUCCUAACCCAGGUCCUCAGAGAAACAGAGAUGAGAGAACUAUGAAUCGAAGAAACCCUAGCCGCCUAGCCCUCCAUCGUCGCUGCCUAACCCAGGUCAUCAGCGCCGCCGCCAUCCCAGGUCCUCAGCACCGCCACUUCGUCCUCUUCCCCGUGUCCGAAACCCAGUAACUUGGCAGGUCCUCUUCGGCUCUUCAUCUUCGUUGGCUUCUCGGCACGGACCCAGUUGCUGAUAGUGUUUUACCAGUUGUUGUUCGUGGCAUGGAGUAGCUUGCCGUCGGGUCGCCGGUUUCCAUCGUCUCGCCGGUUGCCGUCUGUCGAAGGGAGCAGCUCAAAGUUGGGAGUAGAGUAGCUUGCAGCAUUGAAAACCAUCAGCACAAUGAACAACACUGAGUGCUUCAGGAAGUAUGGUGAUAAAACAGAAGUUUCUUAAGUAUCCUGGAUUUUAUAUUUUAGAAGCCAAAUGAUUGAUCCUAUUUUAGGUAUCUUUCUAAAGAUGGUUUACACAGACUCAAUUUAUGAAUUGUCACCAUCAUCUAAAAACACAUUUGAUUGGAAGCUUGGAAAACAUUUAAUAUUAUCAAUGUAUUAACUAUUAAACAAACAUGUUCUGAAAGUUUAUAUUAUAGUAAUAAAUAUGUUUUAUAA